UACGUAGGGCGCAAGCGUUGUCCGGAAUUAUUGGGCGUAAAGAGCUCGUAGGCGGCUUGUCACGUCGGGUGUGAAAGCCCGGGGCUUAACCCCGGGUCUGCAUUCGAUACGGGCAGGCUAGAGUGUGGUAGGGGAGACUGGAAUUCCUGGUGUAGCGGUGAAAUGCGCAGAUAUCAGGAGGAACACCGGUGGCGAAGGCGGGUCUCUGGGCCGAUACUGACGCUGAGGAGCGAAAGCAUGGGGAGCGAACAGG
rnacentral:rRNA from 1 species